UACCACUUUGUGAUUCAUGACUGGGGUGAAGUCGUAACAAGGUAACCGUAGGGGAACCUGCGGUUGGAUCACCUCCUUACCAAGAAGAU
rnacentral:rRNA from 1 species